AUGGACAGACAAACGUCGGACCUGGCCGAGGCCCCGCUAUGGACAGACAAACGUCGGAGCCCCGCUAUAGACAGACAAACGUCGGACCUGGCCAAGGCCCUGCUACAGACAGACAAACGUCGGAGCCCUGCUAUUAUAGACAGACAAACGUCGGACCUGGCCUUACAGACAAACGUCGGACCUGGCCAAGGCCCCGCUAUGGACAGACAAAGGUCGGAGCCCUGCUAUUAUAGACAGACAAACGUCGGACCUGGCCUUACAGACAAACGUCGGACCUGGCCAAGGCCCUGCUACAGACAGACAAAGGUCGGACCUGGCCAAGGCCCCGCUAUGGACAGACAAAGGUCGGAGCCCUGCUAUUAUAGACAGACAAACGUCGGACCUGGCCUUACAGACAAACGUCGGACCUGGCCGAGGCCCCGCUGCGGACAGAUAAGCUUCGGCCCCUGCGCUGGGGCCUGUCCAAGGUCCCUGAUGAGCUUCAGCCCCGAGACCCCAGGUGCAAAAACAACUUUCCAGCAAAGGUUAUUCAUGAAAAGUAUUUCAAGCCCAGCCUGUCAGAAGCAACUUGGAACUCUGGCGGCAGAGGUUCCCCCUGAUGCGGGUAUCAGUUCCACAAUAAAGGGCCUUUUCCGUGUCUGAUUACAUUGCCGGAGGUCUGCCUUGGUGGUGGGUGAAUUCCCAGACCUUAACUCUACCUUGUAGCAAAGGAAGCUGCAGCAGCCAUUUGACCUAGGCACCCCCCCCCAUAAAGGGCGGCCACUUUUCUCUCUCUUCCCUGUGCAGAAGCGCCCACGCAGCCCCCCAUUCCACUCCCUGGUUGGACACCCGGCCAGCCUCCCUCCGAGGGCCCAAGGGCGGCCCCUCCCCCUCCCCCUCUUCAUAUCCCUUUCCUUCCCGCUUCCAAGGCCUCUAGAGGAGAGCUAAGGCAGGGGCGCCCAGCCCGCCAGCAUCUGCGGCCACCUCGUCUCCGGGCCUGGCUCCCCAAGCCCCGCCCCGCCCCCACUUCUACAAGUUUCCGGAAAAUCCCCGCGGGAGCACCGAGAGGCGCGGCCAGCCAAACGACAGCAAUUGCGCUGAGCUCGGCGGCUUCUCCCAGUGCCCGUCUACCCGGGCCCAAGACCCUUCGCGGCCCGAGGUGGGGACAAGGCCAAACAGCCCGCCACCUGGUGCGAAAGAGAGGCUGACAGCCAGCGGAUUCCCUACCCAAAGUGGCCUUAAAUCCGCCUGGGCGUGGCCCCUCCCACCCAGGAAAGUCCCCCGUCUGCCUUCCAAUAAGAAACGCGGACAGAGGAUUAGGCGGGUGAUUUGCUCUAUGAGACGAC
rnacentral:lncRNA from 1 species